GGAGAUUCUCCGCAGGUAGAAUCUAAGUGUAUCUAUGCGUCUCUCUGACCCCAUCACUGAGGGGGUACUGAAAGCGCUGCCUCUCCGCCCAACGCCAUCCUAGGAUGUGCUUUGAUUGGAGGAGUGAUCCUGCUGGGAUUGCAGUGAUGAAUGGAAACAGUGUAUAUGAUGGCCUUAGUGGAGUGACCGGUGUUCAACUAUGUGGGAAGGCAGACAAGUCUGAUGUGGUUCCUUUUUCUCAGAAAGUCCUCCAAUAUGUUUUUGGCACAUUUAUCAAGAACUGGUCAACUGUAGGUGCACGGGUUUGUUUCUGGGAUCAUACAGUUUUGGUUAUUAUAGCUCUGUGGUAUAUCUUGAAGUUAGUUAUUUCAGUUGCUCUAGUUUUGUUCUUUUUGGUCAAGAUUGCUUUGACUAUUUAGAGUUUUUUGUGGUUUCAUAUGAAUUUUGUUAUUCUGUAAAUAAUUUCAUUAGUAUUUUAAUAGGGAUUACAUUGAAUCUUUAAAAUUAUUUUGGGUAGUGUUACGGCUCAGCUCUUGUAUAUACCCCAAAGGCCUGUGUUAAAGGCAUAGUCCCAAGCCCCAGGCACCUUUGGGAAGUGGGGAAAUCUUUAAGAGAUGGGACCUAAUGGAAAGAAAUCAGGUUUACACUCUUAGAGGGCAAAUUAGGACCUCCAGACCCUCCCUCUCUUUUUGCUUCCUGGCCACAAAGUAAGUAGUUUUUCUCUGCCAUGGGCUGUUCCACUGUAGGCCCAAAGCAAAGGUGCUAAGAAGGCAUGGACUGAAACUCUAAGCCAAAGUAAAAUUUUCUUCCUUUAAGUUGAUUAUCUCAGGUAUUUUGUCACAGAGACAAAAAAGACCAACACAGAAAAGUUGUUAUGGAGAAGUGGGGUCACUGCUAUGACUAUACUUGACAGUGUGGUUCAGAAACCUUUGGAAUUGGUUUGUGGGAACAGUUUGGAGAGGAGGUAGCCAGAGAAUGCCUAGAAUGAUAAGCAGAGCUGAACUGGUAACUUUAAUGGGAGUUCAGAAGACCUGAAUGCUGGACAGUAAAUGCUGUGCUGAUGAGGUUUAAGAAAGAGAAACAGGAUUCUAUUUGAGAAUUAGACUAGAGACCAGUCAUGUUAUGCUCUGGCAAAAAAUGUGUCUAUAUUUUGUCCAUGCCCUGAGACUUAGUGGGAGUUUAAAGGUGACAGACUGGUUUAUCUGGCAGAGACAAUUUUAAGGCAGCACAGAAUUCAGGAAGAGGUAUGGGUAUUGCUGGCUGCCUUUAGUCAAAAUUGUGGUGAUAAUUAGGAACAAAAAGCAAAGCUGAAAUAUUUGGGGAAACUUGCAUUUGAUUCAGAAAAGGAACAUGUUUACAUUUGUAGCCAAGGAGAGUGCAGGUUCCCGGAGGAAUAAGUGCCAUUAAAAAGGAGGCAAGCUGGGCGCAGUGGCGCACAACUGUAAUCCCAGCAGCUUGGGAGGCUGAGGCAGGAGGAUCACGAGUUCAAAGCUAGCCUCAGUGACAGGGAGGCGCUAAGCAACUCAGUGAGA
rnacentral:lncRNA from 1 species